rnacentral:sRNA from 1 species
ACCGGGCGAGUGGUGCACGCCUGUAAUCCCAGCAGCUCGGGAGGUUGAGGCAGGAGGAUUGAGAGUUCAAAGCCAGCCUCAGAAAUGGCGAGGCACUAAGCAACUCGGUGAGACCCUGUCUCUA